UACGAAGGGGGGCUAGCGUUGCUCGGAAUCACUGGGCGUAAAGGGUGCGUAGGCGGGUCUUUAAGUCAGGGGUGAAAUCCUGGAGCUCAACUCCAGAACUGCCUUUGAUACUGAGGAUCUUGAGUUCGGGAGAGGUGAGUGGAACUGCGAGUGUAGAGGUGAAAUUCGUAGAUAUUCGCAAGAACACCAGUGGCGAAGGCGGCUCACUGCCCGAUACUGACGCUGAGGCACGAAAGCGUGGGGAGCAAACAGG
rnacentral:rRNA from 1 species